ACAAACCAGGCUCAGUUCUGGGAGUGGAUAAAGGAGCCAUUUUCUUGCUUUUCCUUAGGCCCCUACCUCAGCCACUUUGAGAAAACGUCCUGAAUAAAACUCAGGCACAGACCAUAUUUUAAAAAGUGGUUCCCUAGUCCUUGAACCCCAUCUGAUGCUCCAAGUGUGACAAUCCAGGACUGCUGGCAAGGCAGGAGGAGGGAUGGAGCUUUGUUGGACACAUCAGAAUGCAGGGCUAAGCAUUCCCAGUGUCUUCAGUGAUCCUCAGCAGCAUGGACUCAAGGCCCUCCACCAUUCAUCAUGAGAGCUUUUUACAGAUGAAGAAAAUGAGGCAAACAGGAUUGAGUGACUUGACUAAGACCACACAACUAGUUAGUGUCUGAGGUCAGAGUUGAACUCAGAAAAAUGAGUCUUCCUGACUCUAAGCCUGGUGCUCUAUCCACUGUGCCAUCUAAUUGCCCUUAGCAACUUUUGCCUUAGCAAUUUGUAAGAUUGAAAACUGCUACAAAUCUUUUAGAAAAACAUCCUAGUAGUAUUCCGGAAAAGUCCUAUCCUUUGGUCCAAUAAUUCCAUUGUUGGGGAUAGACAUUGGGAAGAUGACCAAAAAGCAAAACAGAUUUCUCAUCAAGGAUUUUUAAGGGUGUGCUUUUUCCACUUAAAGAAAAAGAACCAACAAAGAGAGGAAGCCAAUGAUCAAUCUGUUUCUUGAGAGCAGAAACUCUCUAGGAGUAUGGUCAGUGCCCGGUGCAUGGUGGGUGCCUAAACUACUUAUUGAUUGACUAGCUAAAUAAAUCAUGAUCCAUUAAUGGGACCA
rnacentral:lncRNA from 1 species